rnacentral:misc_RNA from 1 species
GGGAGAAGAUAUGCUUCCUGAAAAACCUCAAGACUACCGAUUGUUCAUCCAUUCUUACCAAGAUGAGAUUGAUUCGUGGCGUCCAUGUGGCUCAAAUGUCCGUUCUUUACAAUUCAAAGUGGCAGACCCGGAUAGCUUGUUAUGGCCUCGUGAUAUCUCCUUCAUCUUUGACAGCUUCAAACUUGUUAAAGUGUUGGAUUUGGAAUCGUUCAACAUAGGUGGCACUUUUCCUAGUGAAGUAGAGUCAUUAAUUCAUUUGAGGUACUUUGCUGUUCAAACAUAUGCAAAUUCAAUUCCUUC